GGUGAUUCAUAGUAAGGUUGGAAAUCGUAUGGGGGUAACUCUGACGAUAUAUCAUUCAAAUUUCUGCCCUAUCAACUUUGGAUGGUAGUAUAGAGGACUACCAUGGUGAUAACGGGUAACGGAGAAUUAGGGUUCGAUUCCGGAGAGGGAGCCUGAGAAAUGGCUACCACUUCUAAGGAGGGCAGCAGGCGCGCAAAUUACCCAAUCCUAAUACUGGGAGGUAGUGACAAUAAAUAACAAUGCUGGAGUUCAUACUCUGGUAAUUGGAAUGAGAACAAUUUAAACCCCUUAACGAGUAACCAUCAGAGGGCAAGUCUGGUGCCAGCAGCCGCGGUAAUUCCAGCUCUGAUAGCGUAUAUUAAAGUUGUUGCAGUUAAAAAGCUCGUAGUUGGAUUUUAGAGUGUAUUGAUAUGGUCUCUUGUGAUAAACUUGUUGUACUGUAUUAAUUACUCUUUCCUACUUGGUUACUCGUACUCUGUUCUUUAUUGCAUGGAGUAGUGUCGCAAGGCAUCGCUUAGUUAUUUAUUG
rnacentral:rRNA from 1 species